rnacentral:tRNA from 1 species
GCCGAGAUAGCUCAGUGGUAGAGCGCGGCCCUGAAAAGGCCGGCGUGGGGGGUCAGAGUGUGUUUAAUCGUUUUCUUCCUUUGGCA